UAUGCUAAUAAAUUGGCACGUUAGCACGUUAUUGUAAUAUCCCAUAGUACAUACAUGUUAUUAAAACUUGAACUAAUGCACUGUGAGUCUUAUAAAUUGCUUACAUACCUCACCGAUUUCUGCAUGUCUGGAAAACGCUCGGAUUUAGUUCCUGUCUCCGCCUCCCAAAAUGUCUAGUGUAUUCGGAUUGGUCAGAUGACUACUCAACUGUUAUUGGUCAACUGGGUUCGGCGUGUGUUUGAAGGGUUACGCCCCUGACUAGGCGUGGGUUUUCCGGUUCUGACUGAGAGUCACAGGCAACGUAAACAAGCGCUAUAUUUCUCUAUAAACGAUGGUGUCUGAACUGCCUUACCACUUCAAGCUCGAUCCAGAGAGUUCAGACGGCCGUUACGAUAUAAACGAUCUCCGUCAAUGAACGCGAUUGGAUUUAACUUUUUUAGGUGUCCUUAGCUCUGCCAGAAUGCUAAACGAAGACGAAAAUGUGUUGCAAAGACAUCCAAAAGGUUUUAAGGAGAAUGCAACAUGUUCCAGGGCGUCUUACCUGCGUGAUUCAUCAUCCAGGUUUUGCACAAAUUGUCUAAAUCCCUACACACAGAACAUUUAUUGUACCGACUAUAAGCCUUUGAGGUGCAGGACUAGAAUACGCUUGGAGCUUCCUGAUCGGAAUGUUGGCUUCCGACGACCCCUGCACUGAAGAUGGCAUGCAAUCACGUCCUCCUUUGAAGGUCUCUCAAACUGUGAUGCCAGGUCCAUUGGAAUCGGGGUUUCCUUCAGCUUAUC